GCCCGCUUAGCUCAGCUGGAAAGAGCGCCGGUUUCCUAAACCGGGCGUCGCAGGUUCGAGUCCUGCAGCGGGCG
rnacentral:tRNA from 1 species